rfam:Myotis brandtii contig294826, whole genome shotgun sequence.
GGUGGUUCUCGGGUGAUGCACCCCGGAAUUGGGCUCCCUCUUCUCUGAUUCCGUCACCCAAGAACCACA